UUUGCUGGCGACCGGCGCACGGGUGAGUAACACGUAUCCAACCUACCCUUUACUCGGGGAUAGCCUUUCGAAAGAAAGAUUAAUACCCGAUAGCAUAAUGAUUCCGCAUGGUUUCAUUAUUAAAGGAUUCCGGUAAAGGAUGGGGAUGCGUUCCAUUAGGUUGUUGGUGGGGUAACGGCCCACCAAGCCUUCGAUGGAUAGGGGUUCUGAGAGGAAGGUCCCCCACAUUGGAACUGAGACACGGUCCAAACUCCUACGGGAGGCAGCAUG
rnacentral:rRNA from 1 species